rnacentral:rRNA from 1 species
GACAGAGGUGCCGAGCGUUAGGCGGAAUCACUGGGCUUAAAGCGUGUGUAGGCGGGCGGGCAAGUACCUUGUGAAAUCCCACGGCUCAACCGUGGAACUGCUGGGUAUACUGGUUGUCUUGAGCCAGCUAGGGGCGAGCGGAACAGACGGUGGAGCGGUGAAAUGCGUAGAUAUCGUCUGGAACGCCGAAGGUGAAAACAGCUCGCUGGGGCUGCGCUGACGCUGAGACGCGAAAGCCAGGGGAGCGAACGGG